CCUUAACCCCGAUAGCAGCGAAAAUCCUUUUGUGCUGGGGUUCAGCACAAAAGAUUAUAGCGGAUAGCGGGACUUUGC
rfam:Flavobacterium sp. LM5 Flavobacterium_sp_LM5_contig1, whole genome shotgun sequence.